rnacentral:rRNA from 1 species
CCUACGGGUCGCAGCAGUGAGGAAUUUUCCGCAAUGGGCGAAAGCCUGACGGAGCUACGCCGCGUGAGGGAUGAAGUCUCUAGAGAUGUAAACCUCUGUUGGGUGGGACGAAGAUCUGACGGUACCACCUGAGGAAGCCCCGGCUAACUACGUGCCAGCAGCCGCGGUGAUACGUAGGGGGCAAGCGUUAUCCGGAUUUACUGGGCGUAAAGAGCGCGUAGGCGGUCCCGUAAGUUGGUUGUGAAAGUUCGAGGCUCAACCUCGAAACUGCGUCCAAUACUGCGGGGCUGGAGUGCAAGAGAGGCAAGUGGAAUUUGCGGUGUAGUAGUGAAAUGCGUAGAUAUCGCAAGGAACACCAGUGGCGAAGGCGGCUUGCUAGCUUGUAACUGACGCUGAGGCGCGAAAGCUAGGGGAGCGAACGGGAUUAGAUACCCGCGUAGUC